GAGUCUUAAUUGGGCGUUAAGUUGCAGGGUAUAGACCCGAAACCCGGUGAUCUAGCCAUGGGCAGGUUGAAGGUUGGGUAACACUAACUGGAGGACCGAACCGACUAAUGUUGAAAAAUUAGCGGAUGACCUGUGGCUGGGGGUGAAAGGCCAAUCAAACCGGGAGAUAGCUGGUUCUCCCCGAAAGCUAUUUAGGUAGCGCCUCGUGAAUUCAUCUCCGGGGGUAGAGCACUGUUUCGGCUAGGGGGCCAUCCCGGCUUACCAACCCGAUGCAAACUGCGAAUACCGGAGAAUGUUAUCACGGGAGACACACGGCGGGUGCUAACGUCCGUCGUGAAGAGGGAAACAACCCAGACCGCCAGCUAAGGUCCCAAAGUCAUGGUUAAGUGGGAAACGAUGUGGGAAGGCCCAGACAGCCAGGAUGUUGGCUUAGAAGCAGCCAUCAUUUAAAGAAAGCGUAAUAGCUCACUGGUCGAGUCGGCCUGCGCGGAAGAUGUAACGGGGCUAAACCAUGCACCGAAGCUGCGGCAGCGACACUCAGGUGUUGUUGGGUAGGGGAGCGUUCUGUAAGCCUGUGAAGGUGGCCUGUGAGGGUUGCUGGAGGUAUCAGAAGUGCGAAUGCUGACAUAAGUAACGAUAAAGCGGGUGAAAAGCCCGCUCGCCGGAAGACCAAGGGUUCCUGUCCAACGUUAAUCGGGGCAGGGUGAGUCGACCCCUAAGGCGAGGCCGAAAGGCGUAGUCGAUGGGAAACGGGUUAAUAUUCCCGUACUUGGUGUUACUGCGAAGGGGGGACGGAGAAGGCUAUGUUGGCCGGGCGACGGUUGUCCCGGUUUAAGCGUGUAGGCUGGUUUUCCAGGCAAAUCCGGAAAAUCAAGGCUGAGGCGUGACGACGAGGCACUACGGUGCUGAAGCAACAAAUGCCCUGCUUCCAGGAAAAGCCUCUAAGCAUCAGGUAACAUCAAAUCGUACCCCAAACCGACACAGGUGGUCAGGUAGAGAAUACCAAGGCGCUUGAGAGAACUCGGGUGAAGGAACUAGGCAAAAUGGUGCCGUAACUUCGGGAGAAGGCACGCUGACACGUAGGUGAAGUGAUUUACUCA
rnacentral:rRNA from 1 species